CCUAGUGAAAUAAAUGUACUGCUGAGUAUUUGCUCAGAGAGAGGGAUCUCAGACCAGCAUAUUAAUUAUAUUAUGGAUUUGUUUCUUCCUUUGUACUUCACCAAUCGUAUCAACUUUAUCAAGAAGCUUGAGUUGUUCUAAAAUUGUGGAAUUCACAUUUGAUAUACUCAGAAACAUUUCUUAUUGUUAAUGAGUAAUAUUCAUGUAUAACAAAUAAUUAACGGAUAUUUUGGUGCAAACGCAUGUUAUGGUUAUCAAUUUCAAUGUAAACAUGACAUUAAUAAAUGAACCUAUAGUAAAUUUUUUAUCUAUUAUAGUGAGUAUGUUUUUCUCAGAAUUUAGAAUGCAAGUGAGAAUGGUAUAUCUCAACCCAUUUUUCUUCCACGCUAGUAGUUUAUAGUUUAACUAAAAUUCUUAAGAGCAGUAAUAGUUAAUUUAGAAAGGCAGGUUUUAGAAUCUGAAAAACAACUGGUUAGUAGAAAAAAAGAAACUUAUUGUUUAGGUUUCUGAAAACCUAACUUUUUAUCUGAGGGGUGCGGGAAGGGUCACCAAAACAGUCCUAUAGUACAAUUUUCAAGUCAAACAUUCUGUUAUACCACGUUUGCCUGCAUUUUAGUGGUUAUUGUAUCCUUUGAAAAAUUAAAAUAGAUGUAAGACCCAAAAAUAAGGUUUCAGGUCCAUAUAUUUAAGCUAUCAGACCACUUUUUUUAAAAUCGGUGAUGUGUUCAGAUACCUCGAAAACUCAAGGAAUUCAGAGGUUUAGAAAUUGAUAACCUACAGUGUAGCUUUAUGAGGGGUGACAAUGUUAUUAGGAGAGCAUGUGGAUCACACUCCCCUUUGUCCAGUAUAUGGAUGGAUGAAUAGGAAAAAAGGGGCAAAAAAAAGAAAAAAAAUUGAUAACCUGUUCUUUCUAGAAAAUUCUACAUAGGUAUAACCAGGAAAAAUUGUAAUGAUUUAAAAGUAGUUAUAUUCAUGAAGACACUAAAUUCCUUCAGUGUACUCUAUUCCUUAUCUUCAACAAUAACAGUCUUGAUUUCUCAAUAGCUAAGUUGGGGAGUUUAAUUUGGAGUCUGCAGGUAAUGGUUCAACUGAUUUCAGAACUAGCAUGCAAAUUCUUCAUUUAUUCAGAUUAAUCUGUUGCUUUUCUUGCUAAUAAACCCUUAUUUCCCUCAAACAAUUGUUGAUUAGAAGUCUUAGAUGUGUUUGUCUCAUGUCAGGGCACAUGAGUAUGGAUUCAAACUGACUAGAAUUCAUUCAGAGAAUGGAAAAAACAAAAUUGUCAAACAUCAUAACUGGUUGAAGGCACUGAGAAGCUUGCCUGGAAUAAAAAAGACAAUAGCAAUCUGAGAUUGCUGUAUUCUGUAUUGUACUGGAGGGCAGAACUGGGUCGAGUUUCAAGGAGGCAAAUAUAAGCAAGCAAGGGCCUCUUGCCUGCUAUGAAUGGGUACAUUAUGAAAACAGACUGCCUUACAAGGACCUCAAAAGAAAACUGAUGAAGUAGGAAAAACACUUAGUCAAUGAGACUUAAAGGAUGUCUUUUAAAAGAAAAAUCACAUGAGCUUGAAGAGAUUCAUUCCUUAAAAAUGUAAGGAUAUUUGUGCUGGAAGGACAGUUUUGACUAAAGAAAAUGAUAGGGAACUUUGUGGAAUUUUUUGUGUUGUUUUAGGACGGUUUUUACUGGAAAUGAGGACCUACUUUUAACAGAACUGGCAGCAUCAAAGGAAGAUACUCUGAGAAAAUCAAUGUUUCUAGAAACAUGCAUCAUUUGUCUGAGACCUAUGAAGUGAUGAAAAUAUUAACAAAAUACUAGAGCCAUGAACAUAAUUUUUGAGAAUUGCUUCUUGAAAGUCAUUGGAAAUCCAUUAUAGAACUGGAUCAUUAAGUUUUCAUUUCCCUCUUAAGACGGCAAGGAGAAUGAAGGUGCCUCAUUUCUAAUCGAAGAAAACAAGAGUUUGGAUUGCUGGCAGCCCUUGGAGAGCCAAGGUGUGAUGCUUUGAAGAAAAAAAUAACUUGCAAGAAAUGUUGGAAAGAAGUCUGGGUUUAAAUAAAACAAAUUUGCCGUAAAUGAUUAGGGGGUAUGUGGCUCUUAACUCAGCAAAUCAGGCAUGAAUUUUGACAUCACCACCACCCCCCAAAAAAGGUGAGAACUGACCAUACCACAGGUAUCUAGGACACAUGGCGAAGACACUGAGAUGAAGCAGACAACAGACACCUGUAUAGAACAGAGUGCCUGACAACAGCUCACUCUGGUAGAGGGCAAUAAAUGCCACAAGUGAAGAUCCCCUCGACACGAAAGUGUGCAUCUGACCUGCACACCUGAUCUGCUGCCUUCUCCCAUCUCUCGGUGAUUCCUAGAUUUUGGAGUGAGACUAUAGCUUUCCAAAUUUUUCAGUUCAUUUGAGCCUGUUGGAUGUCCAGCACUGUGGGGGAAUAUAAAGAUCAGUAUAAAGCACAAUCCCAGUCCUCAUCUUAAAAGAACUCAUGGAGCUUCAGAUAUUACAGCCAGGUUUUCUGGGGUCUCAUCAUAGGAAGAGUGAGACAAAUCUCUCCUAUUUGGCUUCCAACUUGAGAACCCAAAGAAAAAUUCACAUUCUUGCUGAAAGUGUUGUGACAUAAAGAAGAGUAAAGUGAAAUACAAAUACUUGGUAUUUGGUAUGUUUUAACCCAGCAAAUAGGGUAACAAGAUACUUGUUUUAAUGAUUUCUUGAUUUGAGGUGUUGGUGUGACCUCUGAAGGUGAAAAAGACUGCUUACUUACCUGAAAGCCCUGUAUGGUUAGACAUGUCAUAGGCAUAUAUAACAUUUACGUUUUGACAGCAAAGUCCUAUUUAUUUUGCUGCACAUUUAGUUGUUGCUUUCUUAUCCUGUGCCAUGCUUAAUACUUCUUUCCUUUUCAUCCAUGAAAGGUGUCAGCUUUAAUCCAUUAAUAGAUUUUUGUGGUUAUAUCUAAUUUAUAGUUUAAGGCAUUUUCUAAGCCUAAUAAUUAUGAGAAGAGUUGUGUGAUAAAAUUUAUACAUAAUUUUUCAUCUCCAAUAGGGCCAAUAGAAAGCCUAAUAAUUUUUGAGGUAUAGUUCUGUGACAAACUGGUGGGUAAUAAUGUUUUUUUACUAGUCCAUUGAUGUUCCAGAAAUCUAAGUAUUUUUAGUAAUUUAAUUCCUUCUUUUUGUUU